UACGUAGGGUGCGAGCGUUAAUCGGAAUUACUGGGCGUAAAGCGUGCGCAGGCGGUUCGUUGUGUCGGUGGUGAAAUCCCCGGGCUUAACCUGGGAAUGGCCAUGGAAACUGGCGAACUGGAGUGCGGCAGAGGGGGGUGGAAUUCCGCGUGUAGCAGUGAAAUGCGUAGAGAUGCGGAGGAACACCGAUGGCGAAGGCAGCCCCCCUGGGCUAGCACUGACGCCUCAGGCACGAAAGCGUGGGGAGCAAACAGG
rnacentral:rRNA from 1 species